rnacentral:rRNA from 1 species
GAUGAACGCUGACAGAAUGCUUAACACAUGCAAGUCUUUGGUGAAGCUGUGCUUGCACAGCCUAGCCAAGGCGGACGGGUGAGUAACGCGUAAGGAACUUGCCCUGCAGUCAGGGAUAACAGACGGAAACGACUGAUAAGACCUGGUAAAGUCAGGCGGACUCAUGUCCAGCCUGAUGAAAAGAGAUGCUGCAGGAGAGCCUUGCGUCCUAUUAGCUUGUUGGUGGGGUAACGGCCCACCAAGGCAAUGAUAGGUAGCCGGCCUGAGAGGGUGGACGGCCACAAGGGGACUGAGAUACGGCCCUUACGCCUACGGGAGGCAGCAGUGGGGAAUAUUGGAAAAUGGGGGCAACCCUGAUCCAGCAAUUCUGUGUGCAGGAUGAAGGUUUUCGGAUUGUAAAGUGCUUUCAGCAGGGAAGAAAAAAAUGACGGUACCUGCAGAAGAAGCGACGGCUAAAUACGUG